rnacentral:siRNA from 1 species
UGAGCAUAUAAAAUCUCUUUAUGC